rnacentral:rRNA from 1 species
UACGUAGGGAGCAAGCGUUGUCCGGAUUUACUGGGUGUAAAGGGUGCGUAGGCGGUACUGCAAGUCAGGCGUGAAAUAUAUGGGCUUAACCCAUAGACUGCGUUUGAAACUGUGGUGCUUGAGUGAAGUAGAGGUAGGCGGAAUUCCCGGUGUAGCGGUGAAAUGCGUAGAGAUCGGGAGGAACACCAGUGGCGAAGGCGGCUUACUGGGCUUUAACUGACGCUGAGGCACGAAAGCAUGGGUAGCAAACAGG